rnacentral:rRNA from 1 species
AUGUGUCGGCCGCCCACCGGUUUCGACUGGAGCGCGUCCGCAAAGACCUAACCAAAACUCAUGUUGUCUUUGUCGUCUCAGCUUUAUUAUUGAAUUGAUAAAACUUUCAACAACGGAUCUCUUGGCUCUGGCAUCGAUGAAGAACGCAGCNAAAUGCGAUAAGUAAUGUGAAUUGCAGAAUUUAGUGAAUCAUCGAAUCUUUGAACGCACAUUGCGCCCCUUGGUAUUCCGAGGGGCAUGCCUGUUCGAGCGUCA